GACGAACGCUGGCGGCGUGCCUAAUACAUGCAAGUUGAGCGCUGAAGGUUGGUACUUGUACCAACUGGAUGAGCAGCGAACGGGUGAGUAACGCGUGGGGAAUCUGCCUUUGAGCGGGGGACAACAUUUGGAAACGAAUGCUAAUACCGCAUAAAAACUUUAAACACAAGUUUUAAGUUUGAAAGAUGCAAUUGCAUCACUCAAAGAUGAUCCCGCGUUGUAUUAGCUAGUUGGUGAGGUAAAGGCUCACCAAGGCGAUGAUACAUAGCCGACCUGAGAGGGUGAUCGGCCACAUUGGGACUGAGACACGGCCCAAACUCCUACGGGAGGCAGCAGUAGGGAAUCUUCGGCAAUGGACGAAAGUCUGACCGAGCAACGCCGCGUGAGUCAAGAAGGUUUUCGGAUCGUAAAACUCUGUUGGUAGAGAAGAACGUUGGUGAGAGUGGAAAGCUCAUCAAGUGACGGUAACUACCCAGAAAGGGACGGCUAACUACGUG
rnacentral:rRNA from 1 species